CCUAAUCAUGCAAUCGCCCAAUCUCCAUUAUCUCCAGCUAGCUAGCUAUAAACAUACUAUAGACUGGAGUGAAAGAGGGAGAGUGUGAGGUUGAGAGACAGAGAGAGAGAGAGAGAGAGAGAGAGAGAGAAAGAAAGAGAGAUUACUACACCCAGCCUUUUAUAAAGCCGUUUCUUUCAUUAUAACAGGUCUUUUCAUCAAAAUGACACAGAACCUUUAAAUUUGGGCAUAAUACUCCCGUACAGUACACAGCUAUAGCUUAAAACUGAUUUAGAACCUGCUCCAGAAAGAAAACAAACUCACUCAUUUGACACACAAAUUGUUUACGAUUCAUUAAAAAGCAAAAUUGCAUAUCACAGUGCUGGCAGCUGAGUCCAUAUGGGUGCAAGGGGUAUUCACUCAUCUCUUUGUAUGCUGGCAGUACCAAACCGAAGUUUAGCACUAUGCAGCUGAGAUUUUGUGCAGCCAGACGAUGCAUGAGAUCCUUUUCGGCAGACUGUAAUAGUAUGAUUUUAGAUCUGCUCCUAAUUUGGGAGGCAUUUUCCUUGGGAAGCCCCAGCCUAGAUGAAUUACGAAGAGGAUUUCCUUAUCUCGAACAGUGACAAUUAGUUCAAGUGCCACAUGAGAGCAGGCAGCUGAUUUUUGGACAGCCUCUGAACUUAUGCAAAGUUGCUGACAACGAGUGUGUGUUCUAGCUUUUGGAAAUCCUAUAAUCCUGGCUUCAAUCAAGAGGAUCUGCUGUGGCUGAAGGCGUAAACAAGGAGAGAAGCAGCAUGUGAUCACUGCUCCYACACCUUCAAGGAUUCCCGAGCCAAAACAAGUGCAACGGUUAGAGGUUUUGCCGGGUAUCCAAUGUGACCCGCGUUUCGUAUGAUCUUGCUGAACCCAGGGAAAGCAGUCCUUACCCCUCAGCAGGAAAGUUUUCUUUGGACUCUGCAUUUUUCCCCAUAGCUCUCAGUUGUGCAUUUCUCCCUGCUCCCCUCUCACUCCUCUGAUUUUCCUCUUGCCAUCUGUAUCCCCUUUUUGCCUCAUCUGAAACAAGCAUCAAGAUCCUGUUUCUGACAGAACGAUCUGUCAAUAUGGAGACACACUGACAUCAGAUGCAGUGCUGUGACUUCAUGUCUGAAAGAAACAGGAGGAACAGAUGAAAGGAGUGAAGAGGAAGGAAUGACACAUACAAACAUUUAAAAAAAUUUAAAUAAAAAUUCUUCUCUAUCAACCCA
rnacentral:lncRNA from 1 species